rnacentral:misc_RNA from 1 species
GCUGGUGACGGCCAAACAACUCGCCCCCUCCCCUGCCUGUCUUUGAGCGCUUCCUCGUUCACCAUCAGGGCUGUCACAAGAACGAAAACAAGUGGUAGUCUUUGCUCCUUCUUGCCCCGCCGCCACGGUCAGCACCGCCGCCAGAUACAGCUGUGCGCUCAGAGACCCCCACGCACCUCCUCCCCCCCCCCUCCGCGAGCUUGGUUGUGUGCUGAGAGCGACGAUUCGGUGCCUGGUCUAGGACGGAAGGAAAAGCACGCCUUCAUCUUGACCAUUCCCAUCAAUCUUGUGGACCCGACAAGUUGGGGGGCAGCGCCGACACACGCACACGCAAUCACUCCAGCCUGACGCAGCGGCCGCUAUCCGCCCCCCCUCCUUCACUCCACUCCCGGCUCGCUCUAACGACGAGAAGAUCGCACGACGCCUGCCCACCGUCACUCCACUGCUAAAGUAAGGCUUGCUAGGCAGAAAAGGCACCAACACAAGCCCGCAGAAGAAAGGAAGACGGCGGGAGAGAAGCAUGCCCGCAUUGACUUCUGCGAAGCCUCGCCGCUCAGCGGUCGUGCUGCUCGCCACUGCUGCCUUCGUCAUGCUUGUGUGCUUGCUAACCUGCAGUGCAAGCGGUGCAGCGACCGGAAACUCGAGUGGACUGGUGUGGGUGAUUCUCACUGACCUCAGCCGCACCACCUUGACAGAGGUUUCUCUCUCGGAGGCGAUCACGGCCUUCCUGACAAACACAUCCGCGACGCACCAGUACCUGAACACUCUCUUCCGCCCUGCACCCAUCAUCCUCGACACUGGCGGCAAUCUCCUCACCGCACUGACACAGAUCACCGUCUUGCUGAGUAACCCGCUCACCUUCCCGAGCGUCCUGUUCCUGGCCGAGACGGCCGACGUGUCGGCAUCCGUGGUGGAUAUGCUGCGGCAGAACGACACAACGUCCGACAUCCUCAUUAUCUCCGCCCACUCAUCGAACACGCGUCUGUGCGAUCCAAAGACGAAUCUGCGCACUAUGUGCAUGGUGCCGCGCGACAUGAUCAACGUCCGUGGGCUGCUCGAGGUCGUGUCGAAUCAGCUGAACUGGUACUCCAUGAGCCUGGCCUUGAGCAACGACGACUAUGGCGACGGCGUUGCACAGGCCGUCACGUCGGAGGGGCAGACGGCGUCGACAACGGCGACUAUUGUGGCGCACGCAUUCAUGAACGGCGCUGCCUCGACGACAGAUGACGAUGCGGUCGUCGCAUCCCUCAUCAAGUACCGCGCGCGGGGCGUGGGUUGCUUCCUGCGGGAAGCAGAGACGCGUCGCCUGCACGCCGCCGUGGAGCGCAACCGCCGUGCCGCCAACAGCGUUUUUCUCAUCGCCUCGCGCGAGAGCCUGAAUGUGCUUCCAGACCUGACCAGUGACGUCAACGGAACCGCGAAGCCGUGGGGUGCCAUCUUCGUCUCUGCCUACACGCCUCCAGCGGAGCUCGUCAGCCAAGGCUUCUUUCCCACGACGCACGGAACCGCCGUGGAUGAGUACGGCGCCUUCGUGCUGAGUCACCUCCUCGACGGCCUUCUCAUGCUGGACGCUGCGAAGGGGGCGAUCGACAACAUGUCUGCGCUGCGCGCCGCCCGUUUCCGCGGCUACACCGGCAACGUUGCCUUCGACUCGAUCUACUACCAGCGCGUCGAGACCGUAUUCUCCCUCAUCACGGCCAGCCACACGGUGCGCAACCCACUCGUGACGUGGACUCUGAAGAACUACUCGUCAGACGCGGCGCAGGUGAAUGCGAACCCAAAUGUGACAAGUGCCCUCAUCAAGACGUCGCCGCUGCGCACAGCAAAGAUCUGCAUGGCGUCGCCCUCGAACUGCGCGUUCACGCAGAUGAUGAUUUCAAUGUUGUUUGUGCUUACGGCCCACAACGAAAACGUCGCAGACAACGACAGCGACAGCGUCUUCAACUUCUACCCUGUUGCCGUGAGCACGGGCGCUAGCGGCGUCAUGGGGCUGGCGUCGUUGAUCCCGAUAGCUCGCUCGUGUACAGUGCUCACCGGGCCGGGCUCCGACGCGGUUGUCAUGGCUGUCACCCCUGUGGUGAACGAGUUUCAUAUCCCGCAGCUCGACUACGCCGUCUCGAACGACUACUUCACCGACAACGUGCACACGUAUCCUUACUUCUCGCGGAGCUUGCCAAAGAACACCUUUGCGGAUGUGGCGGUGACGCAGCUCUGCGUGCACUACGGGUGGGAACGCGUGAUCAUCAUCACCUCAAACGACCAGUUCGGCAUCUCGCGCGCACAGUCGAUGGCGACGAGGAUGCAGCAGCAGAACCUAUACGUGGAGGCGACCUACUACCUCUCCGACGGUAACAACGCCACCGUGGCGGACUGCAUGGAGAAGAUCUACGCCAAGUUGGUGAGCCGCAUCAUCAUUCUCAUCAACCCAUUCACGGCUGCACAGGCAGAGACCUUCUUCAGGCUCAGUGAUUACCUCACCUACAUGCGCCAGUACAUCUUCUUUAUGGACAGCGCGCUCUGCCACGCCGCUGCGGCCUCGGCGAACGGCGAUGCGCUGCGUCAGAAACUGCCGAGCUCCAUCUGCAUCUACCCCAACGUGACGCAGACCCGCCUGGAGGCACUGAACACUCUCUACACAAGCAGCGACUACGCGACGACGCGGCAGGAGAUGCGCAAGCUCAUGAGUGACGGCGGGUUCCUCUCGUCGGUGGAGUCGUGUGACAUCAGCUCCAUCAGCCCCUACGCUGGCUUCGCCGUGGACGCCGGCUACGUCCUGAUAGACUCCGUCUCUCGCGCCGUCGCUGAAAAUGUGUCGCUGAAUGUCGCCGCCCAUCUGCUGCCCUACAUCCGCAGCACAUCCAUUGACAACUUCGCUGGCGACUGCACCAUCGACUCCACCGGCAACCGCCUCUACGCGGCCUACUCGAUCAACAUCCAGCUCUUGAAUGGCAGCUCGCUCUUCAUCGGCACCUGGAACUCGAAGGCGUCACCGGCGCUGGAAAUUACGGAGUGGUCGUUUGUGUGGCUGACGAACAGCACCGCAGUACCGCUCGACACGUUCCGGGAUGCUUCCUUCGUCCUCAGCACGGCCUUCUCGGCCUCCCCGGGGGCGAUCGUGAUUUCCAUCCUCGGCUUCAUCCUCACCAUAGCCGUCUUCUACUUCUGCUACCGCCACUACCGCAUGCAGAAACUCGUUGAGCAGGCGUUGGAAGCGAACCAGUUCCCGGUGACGGACGAGGAGCUGCGUUGCCUGCGCGGCAUCAAGGACGACGUGUAGGUCACACAAGAGAAGAAAGGGAGGCGAUGCGGGGGUGGGAGAGGGGGGCGCGAUCACAUGGAUGUGCCAAUAAAGCAGACAACGAGAGGAGACAUCGAUGCACGUGUGCUGGGCAGCGUGUGAAGGUGCCACCUCCUUUUAUAUUUUUUCCGUUGUGUGUGGCGGUGUGCUGAGUUUUCUGACGAUGCUCUUGCCGAUGCCUUUCGAUGUCUGUGCCGCACUCCCUCUCUCUCUCUCUCUGUGACACCGACACGAGUCGGCGUGCUCGUGUUGUUGGCCGCAUUGCCGUGCUCGUUAUUACUCGAGUGGCCGUCUUUCUCGGUGGUCGUGGUGGUGGUUGGCAAGCCCGCGCGCGGUGCUGCGCGUGGUGCAUGUAAGCAAAGAAAUUUUGCUCUCUGCCACAACCCCGCGCCUUGCGCUGCGCCACCAACACCACUCUGCUUGUUUAACAACGAGGCUUUCUCUGUCUCUAACGGAAGCCCCUUGCUUGUGCGGGAGAGCCGCUAGUGAGCGUCGUUCUCUACCGCAAGCGCUUGUCCCGUGUGAGUGUGGGCUGUGGCCCUCUCACCACCGCAAAGAUGCCCAUAGAAAGAAGAGGGUGUCUCACCUGUCCUGGUCCGUGCCCUGUGUCUCGCAGAGACACAGGGCAUACCGACUGGAAGGACAGAGCAGGGUCCGCGGAGGGGAGAUGCAUGGCCCGGAGUGCCGUCGCGUGUAUGGCGUGGUCGUCGCCACGUCUCCUGUCCAGUGUGUCUCUCUCCUUCACCCCCUUGCUAUCGUUCCCGGCGCUCCUAUGCGGACACGGUCAUCACCUCCUCCCCCCCCCCCACCACCACCUCUACUACGACCACCACCGUCGCUGCAUCUGUUGUUUCUUUAUUGAGGGCGAGGGGCUCUUCUGUUUUCGCCAUCAUUGAG